UCCGGGAGGAAAAUGCAUUUGAAUUAACAAAUUUACCUGUAUAUAAAUCUUACUAUUAUUGUAUUCUGGCUGUAAAGAUUUAAAAUUUAGUUUCUGUAAUUUAUUCAGUGGCUGAACUUCUGGUAAUCAUUUCCCCCCUUUUUUUCUUUUUCUUUUUUUUUUUAAAGCUUUUUUUUUCUUCCUAUCCCAUUCCCUCUGCCCCCUGCUUCUAUGAGGGUGCCACACCACUCACUCCUGCCUUAUCACCCUAGCAUUCCCCUACACUGGGGCAUUAAGUAUCCAAAGGACCAAGGGCCUCCUCCCCCAUUGAUGCCAGAUAAGGCAAUCGACAGCUACAUGUGCAGCUGGAGCCUUGAGUCCCUCCAUGUGUACUCUUUGGUUGGUGGUUUAGUCCCAUGGAACUCUGGGCGGGGCAGGAGGCAGGAGUCCGGUUGGUUAAUUGAUAUUAUUGUUCUACCUGUUGGGUUGCAAACCCCUUCAGCUCCUUCAGUCCUUCCCCUGACUCCUCCAUUGGAGUCCACAGGCUCUGUCAAAUGGUUGGCUGCAAGCAUCCAAAUCUGUAUUGGUCAGGAUCUGGCAGAGCCUCUCAAGAGACAGAUAUACUAGGCGCCUUCCAGUUAGCAAACACAUUGGCAUCACCAAUAGUGACUGGGUUUGGUGUCUACAAAUGGGAUGGAUCCCUAAGUGGGGCACAGUCUCUAGGUGGACUUUUCUUUAGUCUCUUCUCCACUCUUUGUCAAUGCAUUUCCUUUAGACAGGAGCAAUUUUGGGUUAAUAUUUUUGAGAUGGGUGGUUGGUCCCUUUCCUCAAUUGGGGCCAUGCCAAACCUCUGCAUAUGGUCUCUACAGGUACUCUCUCCCAUUUGUUGGAUAAUUUAGCUAAUAUCAUCCCCAUUGAGUCCUGGGAACCUCUUGCUUUCAUGGCAUCUGGGAUUUUCUGGUGGCAACCCCCAGUUCCUAAUUUCCAUCAGCUAUAUACCUCCAUUCAAUUUUCUAACCCUCUGUGCUUCUCCUGUCUCCUCCAACACCUGAUCCUGCCCCCUCUUUUCCCUUUUUCUACUCUCUCCCUUCCAGGUCCCUCCCUCCCUCUACCUCUCAAGAUUAUUUUGUUCUCCCUUCUAAGUGGAAAUGAAGCAUCCACACUUUUCUCUUCAUUCUUCUUGAGCUUCAUAUGGUCUGAGUUGCAUUGUGGGUAUUCUGAGCUUUUUUCCCUAAUAUCAACAUAUCAGUAAGUAUGUAACAUAUGUAUUAUUUAGUGACUGGAUUACCUUACUAAGGAUGAUAUUUUCUAGUUCCAUCCAUUUGCCUAAGAAUUUAAUGAAGUCAUGGCUUUUAAUAGCUAAGUAGUACUCCAUUGUAUAAAUGUAUUACAUUUACACAUCCAUUCUUCUGUUGAGGAAUAUCUGGGUUGUUACUACCUUCUGGCUAUUAUAAAUAUGGCUGCUAUGAAUAUAGUGGAGCACGUGUCCUUUUUAUGUGUUGGAGCAUCUUUUGGGUAUAUUUAUUCCCAGGAGUAGUAUAGCUGGGUCCCCAAAUAGUAUUAUGUUCAGUUUUCUGAAGUCAAGUUUUUUGAGGUCAAGUCUAAGUAGAUCAAGAACCCCCACAUAAAAUCAGAUACCUUAUAGGUAGAACAACAAUAUGAACUAACCAGUACCCCCCACCCCCCAGAGCUCAUGUCUCUUGCUGCAUAUGUAUCAGAAGAUGGCCUAGUCGGCCAUCAGCGGAAAGAGAGGCCCAUUGGUCGUGCAAACUUUAUCUGCCUCAGUACAGGGGAAUGCCAGGGUCAAGAAGUGGGAGUGAGCGAGUGGGGGAGGGGGUGGGGGACUUUUGGGAUAGCAUUGGAAAUGUAAAUGAAAUAAAUACCU
rnacentral:lncRNA from 1 species